AUCAGACCGGGGGCGGGGAUGGCGCGGCUGGGGAACACGGCACGCGCCGUUGGUUGGUGCGGCGUGACGGGGCGUGGCGCGGGAGGCGCCGUUGGUUGGUGCGCGGCUGGAGGGCGCGGCGCUGGCGGCGCCAAUGUUUGGUCACGGUCGGCUUGGCCGGACCGUGGCCCUGCUGCUGUUCCUGGGCAUGACAGCCGCGCUGGCCCGGGGCUGCCUGCAGUGCGACCCCAAUUUCUCGGAGAAGUUCUCCUUCUAUCGACACCACGUGAACCUCAAGUCGUGGUGGGUGGGUGACAUCCCCGUGUCGGGGGUGCUGCUCUCCGAGUGGAGCCAGAACACGAUGAAGGAGCUCCAUCUGGCCAUCCCCGCCGAGAUCACCAGGAAGAAGCUAUAUCAAGUGGCAGAAGCCGUGUACCAGAGGAUGGACCAGCUGUACCAGGGGAAGAUGUACUUCCCAGGGUAUUUCCCCAAUGAGCUGCGGGCCAUCUUCCGGGAGCAAGUGCGCCUCAUCCAGAAUGCCAUCAUAGAGAGCCGUAUCGACUGUCAGCGUCACUGUGGCAUCUUCCAGUAUGAGACCAUCUCCUGCAGCAACUGCACAGACUCCCACGUCAUCUGCUUUGGCUACUACUGCAAGUAUGGCUCAUGCAGCAAUUCCACUGCCCCUGGGGUCAUAGUCAAGGAAGGGGACCUGGGCCUUGGGGACACCCCACCACCAAGCCCUGUGUCCCCCCCAGGUCAUCGGCACAGUGGGAGUCAGCUGUACAGGGCCUUCUGAAGUACAUGUGAGCUGGGGCUUAUUGGGUACAGGACAAGGAGAGGGAGGGGGACACUAAGGGAGGCUGCUUGGUCUCCUGACUCCAAGCCUGUCGUUGUAGAAACGCCUGGCACAAGUAAGUUCCUGAUGGAAUCCAAGGCUGCGUGUGUGCCUUGUGGUGAGGGUUUGAAGCUUGCCGAGGCUCAGGAGGGCCUUGCCCACACCCUUCGAGGGUCUCCAUGCUCAGCUGGAGGACGGGGGCAAGCCAUCCCGGCUGCAGGGUCUUGAGACCUAGGCUUCCCUGAGUUGGUGGUGGACCUGGAGGGUCUAACUGGAGCCCCAUUCUAUUUCAGACAGGAUGUAAAGAUGAGGUAAGACCAGGCCUUCCACUGGAGAUGGGGGAGUGAGCCCACAGGAGCAGUUAGGAUGCUGGGGAGUGGAAAGGCUCUGCGGUUAAGACUCUUGCAGAGGACUCAGGUUUUCUCAUACAGGGUGGCUCACAACUACCUAGAGCUGCAGUUCCAGGAAACCCAGAGCCCUCUCCUGGCACAAGGUACAUUUUUUUUCUUUCAAGGUAGGGUCUCUUUGUGUCACCCUGGUUAUCCUGGAACUUGCUCUUGUAGACCAGGUUGGCCUAGAACUCAGACUCCCUUGCCUCUGGCUUCCAAGUGCUGGGAUUAAAGGUGUGCACCACCACAAAUGUUUUUAAAAGGGGGUAAUAGAGUGCUUGCUGCUGCACAUGCCUAAGGACCUUAUUCUAGCAUUGCACACACACACACAGCACCUACAGGUGGAGGAGGUUGGGGGAACUCACUGGCCUAUGUACCACCUGAGCUUCAGGAGCCUAAAUGGCACACUGGGGACUGCACUGUGGUACUAUGGGGACACAACACACAAACACGUUUUUUGACUCUUUAAUGGGUCAUUGUGACACCGAUCGUCAGCAGCGUGAUAUAUCUCUCUUCACAUGGGAAUGUCGACAGCAAAUCAAUCAUGGAA